UUUAUUGUGACAUUAAGCAUGUACACAAAAAAGGGUGCCAGACAAAACUGUGCAGGUCAGUGAGAGUGUGAAAAGCAUCUAUUUCAAGAAUAUAUGUGGCAGCACCUCAGAAGCCCACUCCUCUCGUCACCCCCUCCUUAAAGGCAACUACUACUCAGAUUUCUAACCCUAUAAUUUAGUUUUGUCUGUUUUCUCAGUUUUCUGAGCUUAAAACAUUUUAAACCUACACAGAAGUUGCAAAAGGGAUGUAAUGAGUACCUGUCCACUCUUCACCUCGAAGGAUCAAUUGUAGUCAUUUUGCCUCAUCUGCUUUCUCUCACCCGAGAAAUUCUCAGAUGCCAGCCUUGGAGCCAGGCUUCUGUGUUGUCAGGUUACCCUCGGAUCAGUUUCCCACACAGGAGCCUGACGGAGCUCAGUGCCCAUUUGAGGCUCCUGGUGGCAUGAAGAGAGUGGGGCCUCUUUGGAGCCUCCAGGAGUCCAGGCUCAGUUAUCUGGGAAAAAUGACCAGUCAACCCAUCAAUGAAUUAAUUCAUUAAGCUCUCCCUCCCUCUCUCUUCCUUUCUCUUCUCCUUUCUUCCUUUCAGCAGAUACUUUCUGACCACAGUAUGUGUUCAGGAGCUAGGGUACAAGGUAGGCGAGAGGGGUCUGAUCUUUGCUUUCAUAGCUCUUACCUACUGUGUAGGGUGUGAGGGGGAAGCCUGAUCAAUGUACAGAAGGUGAGAGAAAGUGUCUUACAGGGAGUUCAGGUUAGUUAGGGAGAGGGCCAGCCCAGUCUAUCAGGGUCAGGGCAGCUUCCUGCAGGCACGGACCUUGAGACAGAAGGAUGAAACUUCUUUGGAUUGAGUUGUGUCCCCCAGAUUCAUAUGUUGAACCCCUGACUUGCAGUGUAUUUGGAGAUCAGGCUUUCGGGAGGCAGUAAUUGGUUGUUUGGUUCAAUCCCAGGCACAGACGGUAAAGAAUCUGCUUUCAAAUCUGGGUUUGAUCCCUGGGUUGAGAAGAUCCUCUGGAGAAGGGAAUGACAACCCACUCCAGUAUUCUUGCCUGUGAAAUCCCAUGGACAGAGGAGCCUCGAAGGUUGUAGUCCAUGGGAUUGCAAAGAGUUGGACAUGACUGAGUGACUAAUUAGGGUUAGAUGAGGUCCUGAGGGUGGGGUCUUCAAGAUGGGAUUAGUGCCUUUAUCUUUUAAUUUAAGAAAAUAUUUGUAUUUAUUUAUUUGGGUGCUCUGGGUCUUAGCUGCGAUGAGCAGGAUCUUUUAGUUGUGUCGUGUGGGAUCUAGGUCCCUGAUCAGGGUUCGUACCUGAGUCCCAUGUAUUGGGAGCACAGAAUCUUAGCCAUUGGACCAUAAGGGAAGUGUAAAAAGAGGAAAAGACCAGAGUACACUCUCUCUACCACUUGAGGACUCGGUGAGAAGGUGGCAGGUCAGGAAGGGGGCUUCACCAGACACCGAACCCUGCCACACUCCGAUCUUGAACUUCUCAGGCUUCAGAACUGUGAUAAAGUUAAUUUAUGUUGUUUAAGCCACUCAGUCUAGGAUAUUUUGUUAUGGCAGGCAGAGCAGUCUAAGACUGACAGCAUGAGGAGAUGUUUCCAUCCAGGCUAGUUUGAGCCCUGUGUACUCAGAGUGUUGUAAGCUAUUCCAACAAGUGCACUGAGCACUCAACAUACACUGCCAUUCACAGAAUCCAUGCAACUGGACACCCGGUCAGGACGAGGGUGCAUCCUUGGUGGAGUGGCAGCUGUGAGAACUGGCUCAGUAGGGGAUGGAGUAGACCAGACAGGGCGGGGAGGGUGAUGGAGGAGGAAAAAGCAUUCACAGAGGAGAAGGCUUUCUUGGGAGGCCAAGGAAAGUUAGAGGAAUCGUGACUGAGGCUGGCUGAAGCAUUUGGAGGAUGGAGAAGGGAAGAUGGCAUGUCAGCGUGUGUUCAGGGCUUAGCUAGACUUGGAGAAAAACUGGGAAUUGCUUCUUAGACCCGCCCACAGUAUUUGGGCUUGGAAACUUUCCAGAUUUAAAUCCAGUCUUGCUGUGGACAAUGGGAUGUUUUCAGAUUCUCCUAACUCUGUUCUUAACACCCUGGAUAGUAAGAUCGCACAUCUCCUGCCCUCUCCUGGCUGAAGACCUUGCUCAUCAGACACCAUCAGCGAGAACUUCCUCAGGCUCCUCCUGCCAAACCUGAGCUCCUGCACCUGCGCACCCCGUGGCCUUCACCUCGUCACCGGGAGGCCCUGGCUCGGUCCUCGCUGUUCUCUGCCACCCUCCCAAGCAGCUAUUUUCUCUCUUUCCUGGAGCCUCCCAUCAGCAUACAAACAUUCCAUGAUUCCUCCCAUCUUAAAAAUAUCCCUCUCGAUGUGGAAAAAUUGGAACCCUUGCACACGGCUGGUGGGGACAUAAAGUGGGGCAGCUGCUAUGGAAAACAGUAUGACUCUUCCUUGAAAAAUUAAAAUAGAGUUACCAUAUGAUCCUGUAAUUCCACUUCUGGGUGCAGACGCGAAAGAGCUGAAAGCAGAGUCUCAAAGAGGUAUCUGUACAGCCGUGUUCUCAGCAGCAUUGUUCACAUUAACCAGAAGGUGGGAACAACACAAAGAUCCAUCAAGGGAUGAAGGGAUCAAUCAAAUGUGGUAGGUCCAUACAGUGGAAUAUCAUUCAGCCUUAAAAAGGAAUGCAGUUCUGACACCUGCCACAACAUGAAUGAACCUUGUAGACACUGUGCUCAGUGAAAUAAACCAGUCCCCGAAAGGACGAGUACUCUAUGAUUCCUCUUGUAUGGAUUACUUUCAGUUCAGUUCAGUCGCU